rnacentral:lncRNA from 1 species
ACUUGUAGCUGAAUGGUAGUAUUAGGGUUUCUGCUUUUUGGUAGCUUUAGGGCUAGGAGGACAGUUGGUGGCAUGUAGGAAAUUUCAAAUCAUUCCUUGAUGCCUUAUCUGAUUAUAGGUACUUAGAUACAGCUGAGUUUGGUAGAAAGAAUAACACAAGGGCUGGGAAAUAAAGGGAGAGAAAUGUUCUUUAAACUCCGAGGCACGAGUGAUAUGCAGUUUAUGUGAAGAUGAAUGAGUAUUAGAGGUGAUCCAAAACUCACAUCUGACAGAGAAGUAGCCAGAGGCCCUUUAAAAAUGAAGCCUGCCUGAACAUUGAGAGAAAGGACUCCAACCCCAAACUAGGACAUGCCAAGGGUCUCACUCUGGUUGCCCAGGCUGAAAGUGCAGUUGCGUGGGUCACUGCAGCCUCACCCUCACAGGCACAGCUGAUUCUCCCAUCACAGUCUCCCAGGUAUGUGGUACUAUAGGCAUGUGCCACCAUGACCAGCUAAC